GGGUUUGAUUAUGGCUCAGGAUGAACGCUGGCGGCGUGCUUAACACAUGCAAGUCGAACGAACCUUCGGGUUAGUGGCGGACGGGUGAGUAACGCGUGGGAAUCUGCCCUCAGGAGGGGGAUAACGGCCGGAAAUGGCCGCUAAUACCCCAUAUGCCGAGAGGUGAAAUGAAUUUCGCCUGAGGAUGAGCCCGCGUCUGAUUAGCUAGUUGGUGAGGUAAGAGCUCACCAAGGCAUCGAUCAGUAGCUGGUCUGAGAGGAUGAUCAGCCACACUGGGACUGAGACACGGCCCAGACUCCUACGGGAGGCAGCAGUGGGGAAUUUUCCGCAAUGGGCGAAAGCCUGACGGAGCAACGCCGCGUGAGGGAUGAAGGCCUCUGGGCUGUAAACCUCUUUUAUCAAGGAAGAAGAUCUGACGGUACUUGAUGAAUAAGCCACGGCUAAUUCCGUGC
rnacentral:rRNA from 1 species